UUAAAUUAUUAAGGGCGCAUGGCGAAUGCCUUGGCACUAGAAGCUGAAGAAGGACGUGACGAACAACGAUAUGCUUUGGGGAGCAGUAAGUACGCUUUGAUCCAGAGAUUUCCGAAUGGGGGAACCCAGCAGUAGUAAUAGACUGUUAUCCUGACGUGAACACAUAGCGUCAGAGAAAGCAACCCGGCGAACUGAAACAUCUUAGUAACCGGAGGAAGAGAAAGAAAAAUCGAUUCCCUUAGUAGCGGCGAGCGAAGAGGGAAGAGCCCAAACCAGCUCUUCGGAGUUGGGGUAGUAGGACCUCUAUAUAAGAGUAAGAAAUUUUUGAUAUAGUUGAAUCAGAUGGAAAGUUGAACCAAAGAAGGUGAAAGUCCUGUAAACGAAAUAUCGAAAACUCUUUGAGGAAUCCUGAGUAGGGCGGGGCACGAGAAACCCUGUCUGAAUCCACGGGGACCAUCCCGUAAGGCUAAAUACUCUCUAGUGACCGAUAGUGAACAAGUACCGAGAGGGAAAGGUGAAAAGAACCCCGGGAGGGGAGUGAAAUAGAAUACUGAAACCAUGUGCUUACAAAAAGUCAAAGCCCGUUAAUGGGUGAUGGCGUGCCUUUUGCAGAAUGAACCGGCGAGUUAAUGUUGCAUGCAAGGUUAAGUUGAAGAGACGGAGCCGAAGCGAAAGCGAGUCUUAAUAGGGCGAAUAAGUAUGCAGUAUUAGACCCGAAACCGAGUGAUCUAGCCAUGAGCAGGUUGAAGUUUUGGUAAUACAGAAUGGAGGACCGAACCGACGUACCCGGAAACGUGCGCGGAUGACUUGUGGCUAGCGGUGAAAUUCCAAACGAACUCGGAUAUAGCUGGUUCUCCCCGAAAUAGGUUUAGGCCUAGCCUUGAGGUUAAGUACUAUGGAGGUAGAGCACUGAAUAUACAAUGGCCCCAUCUAGGGGUACUGAGUGUAAUCAAACUCCGAAUGCCAUAGAAAACAUACUCAGGAGUCAGCGUGUGGGUGAUAACGUCCAUACGCGAAAGGAAAAGAGUCCAAGAUCGCCGAUUAAGGUCCCAAAAUUUGUACUAAGUGGGAAAGGAUGUGGAGUUGUCAAAACAGCUAGGAGGUUGGCUUAGAAGCAGCCAUCCUUUAAAGAGUGCGUAAUAGCUCACUAGUCGAGUGACACUGCGCCGAAGAUGUACCGGGGCUAAGUACAAUACCGAAAUCGCGGAUUCAUGCGAAUGCAUGAGUGGUAGGGGAGCGUUCCAAGGGCGUUGAAGGUUGACCGUGAGGACAGCUGGAGCGCUUGGAAGUGAGAAUGCCGGUGUGAGUAGCGCAAGAUGGGUGAGAAUCCCAUCCACCGUUUGACUAAGGGUUUCUGGGGCAGGUUCGUCCUCCCAGAGUUAGUCGGGUCCUAAGACGAGGCCGAAAGGCGUAGCCGAUGGACAACAGGUUGAUAUUCCUGUACUACCUAUAUGACUGAUGGAGUGACGGAGAAGGCUAGGGAGAGCCAGUUAAUGGAUUCUGGUCUAAGCACAAAGGUUUACAAUUAGGGAAAUCCGGUUGUAGGUAAGCUGAAGUGUGAUGGUGAAGCUACAUGUAGCGAAAUCUUCUGACGCCAAGCUUCCAAGAAAAGCUUCUAGGGCUAAUCAUAUAGGUACCCGUACCCAGAACCGACACAGGUGGUCAAGGAGAGUAUCCUAAGGUGAGCGAGAGAACCAUGGUUAAGGAACUCGGCAAAAUAACCCCGUAACUUCGGAAUAAGGGGUGGUCAUUUCGGUGACCGACACUAAAGACGCCCAGGCAACUGUUUACCAAAAACACAGGUUUCUGCCAAUUCGAAAGAAGAAGUAUAGGAGCUGACACCUGCCCAGUGCUGGAAGGUUAAGAGGAGUGCUUAGAUAGAUUGAAAAAUCGAUGAUUCGAAGGUACGAAUUGAAGCCCCAGUGAACGGCGGCCGUAACUAUAACGGUCCUAAGGUAGCGAAAUUCCUUGUCAGGUAAGUUCUGACCC
rnacentral:rRNA from 1 species